GCCAGCGGGAUAGCUCAGUUGGUAGAGCACAAGACUCUUAUUCUCAGGCUUGUGGGUUCAAGUCCCACAUUGGGCA